UCAGGUUGGGACUGUGGGAGGAGGAGGAUGCAGGAAGGGAGGUCCCAGCCCUGGCACCUUUCCGCAAGCCCUUGCCUGCGGGGACAGCCAUCCGUGGACAGCAGGUCUGUGCUCCUGCGACUCCAUGUGUGUAGACAGGCUGGACAUGAUGCAUCAUUAACUCCUACCUGGCUUCUCACAUCUUCAUCGGCUGGUAUGGUAUAGUGGGAAGAAAAGAGCGCAGGGUUCGGAUGUAGGGAGCCCACAUUCAAAUACUGGUGGGAUUGGAAAGCUAAGCUGGGCUGUCUCUCAAAUACAGAUACAUACCAGUCUGUAAAUUCAGGCAGAUUGAGAAAUUCACAGCAAACGCAUUUCACAGGCCAUCAUACUGUUUUCAGCAGUUGCAAUCAUUCAUCAGCUGUGCCUCAGAUCAGGUCUUCUGCUCUUCUCUAACCAGCACCUGACUGGAGCACCAUGCUGAGCAGCUUUAAGGCUGUGCAGUAUUUGUUAAAUUUGCAUCUGCCUGGUGGCUACUUUUGCACCUGCACUGUAGGUGAAAUUGGUUUUGCCCCAGGGUUGCAUGGUUGCAGCAGGUAAAUGAAAUGGUGCUGGCCUGUGCAAAACCGCAGACUGUGCAAAACCAUGCAUGUGUGAACUGCUGCAGAUCCAGACAGACUGGCAGCCACUACCAUGGAUCAGAUGGAGCAGGAUGAACCCCAAAUGCUAUGGCCUCUCUUGGCCCCUGGCCUUCACCAUAACUGGCUUCUUUUGCUCUCUCUCUGAAGAGGAAGAUUGCUGGAUGAAGAUCCUGCCUGGAAGAGAACACACAUUGCAUCGGAAGCCAAGAGCGGGAAGGAUCCUGUGUUUGGUGAGAAGCACCAUGCUCAAGGGAAGGCAGGAAGGAUACACCCUACUUCGCCCAUGUCCAUGAUGGCAGCCCCUUCGACUUUCCACUACAAAACCGGGUGGUCCCCAUCAAUUGCUGUUGAAGAAGGGAAACACAGCUUGCCACAGGGGCUGGCACAUUGUGAGUUUACAGGUGGAAGCCUGAGGAGCUGGUCAUCAGCAGAGGUGCUUUGCUCCAACAGGAGGAGUCUGCAAGGGCUGCCUCAUCUCCCAUUCUGGAGGGAAACCUUCCACCUGGCAGCACUCAUUAGGGCAGCAGAAGAAAAAUGGGAGGAGAGGAAAUUGGUAUUACUCCAACACUGCAAUGUCACUUCUGGCAUGAACCCAGAAGUGACAUCAUCACAUCAGGAAACACUGCAGGGUUCCAUGAAACUCUAUGUUUUUUCAAGGUGCUGCCUUCCAAAAGCUCCCACCAGUUGCCAGCACUGGGCUGGCAACCCUAGAGCCUUCGCUUGAUGCAAGAAUCUCAGGAGAAGCCUGCUUUUCACCCAGUGGGAGCCAGCCAACCCCUCACUGAGCUGGGGCCCCAGAUGAGAGGGUCAUGUGUGCAUUAUGGGUUUGCAACCCAUCCACCUCAGCUUGCUAGCCUCCAGGUGAUAGCUGGAGAUCUCCCGGAAUUACAACUCAUCUCCAGGUGACAGAGAUCAGUUCCCCUGGAGAAAAUGGCUGCUUUGAAGGGUGGACUCUAUGGAAUUAUACUCCACUGAGGCCCUUCCUCUCCCCAAACCCCACCCUCUUCAGGCUCCACCCCCCAAAAUCUCCAGGAACUUCCCAGCCUGGACCUGGCAAUCCUACAUCCACCUGACCCCAGGCUAGCAAAUGACAGUCAUUUUGCUAGUGUGCCUUUAUAUGUACAUGCAUUAUGAUGAAGCCAGUUUUUAUGCAUACACAUACACCCACACCAAAGAUUGGGCUGUUUUUUCCUCCAACCAGCAAGCACAUCAUUCCUUUCUCGCCCCUGCAGCUCACAACCAGUCCAGACUGCCCACCCUCCUUUCCCCCUGUCCAUCACAAGGUUUCCCCUCCAGCUUCUUCUCCUGGCCCAACAGCUUCCCAUUCUGGCCCAGGAUCAUCUGACCAAGUCCCAUCACAUGGUCCGAAGAACCAAUCACAUGCUCUCAGGCUAAAGCCUGGCUUGCAAGCUGGUUCCUUAGUUUGGCCUUGUCUGCCAGUGAGGUCCUGCCCCAAGUUAAAUUUAUCUGUCAUUCUGACCCAGCCUGUCUUCCUUAUGUUUCUUUUCAUAGCCCCUUCUGUUUGGUCUGUUCAUUUGUACUUUUGGCUUGGCAGCCUGAACUUGACCCUGCCUCUCACCUCUGAACCUUGCAGUCAGGAAUGCUCUGCUGGGGUUGCUAGUUUCCCUGGCAGUUCCCCAUGCCCCCAGUUUCCAUUUCUGAGCAGUGGCAAGAGAAAAAUAAAAUAAAAUAAAAUAUGGCCACCAGGCCUAUGGUGUGAUGUCAUUUCCAAGGGGAAAUCCAGAAGUGAUGCCACACCUCUCUAAACCAUAGAGUUUCUGGUGAUUCCUAGAAAGGACUGAUAUCACUUCUGGGUUUUCCCUCGAAGUGACAUCAUACCAUCACUGACACUUGCUCCUAUAUCCUUCCCAAUCUCCUGAUGCUUGCCAAGCUGAGCCCGGGAGCCCCAUUAUAGUUGGUAGUUCCCACUCUGCCCUGUCUCUUGCUUCCCACCACCACUCUGAGCAGCAGCAGCAGAAUUUUUAAAAAUGGCCAUGAAGCCAAUGAAAUGACAUAACUUCUGGGAAAAAAACAGAAGUGAUGUUCUGCCUCUCUAGGAAUUGAUGGAAACUCUGUGGUAAGCCCAUAGUGUAAUUGGUGAUUCCUAGAGGGGACUGGUGUCACUUUCGACAAAAACUGGGGGCAGCUGUUGGUGACAUCUGACAAUAUUUCCAGCUGAGUUUAGGGCCAAUCCAAGUUGUUCCAGCACCUCAGAAGCUACCCUGUGCAAUUGGUGAGCAAUGGAUCCUAUUUCCCUUGCUACUGACACGCAGGUUGUGCCCAGCAUUCUUUACAUGAGAUGGUGGGUCUUGUAUUGCUUCAUUCAACCGUUCCAACAGACUGUUGGAACUGAGCCAGCCCUGAGUGCAAGAAGCUAUCAUGGUGGCCCAGCCCUGCCUACUGUGUGACCUUAGGGUUGCCCUGAAGAUCUCCUAGAAUUACAAUUGAUCUCCAAAUUAGAGUAAUCAGCUUCCCGGAGAAAAUGGCUUCUUUGGAGGGUGGGGGUGGACCCUAUGGUAUCACAUCCCUCUUGAGUUCCCUUGCUGCCCCAAACCCUACCCUCUCCAAGGUCCCCGCCCCCCAAAAUCUCCCAGAAUUUCCCAACCCAGUGUUGGCAACUUUACUUGACCUGGAUCCCUGCCGUGCAAGGCAUUGGCCUCCAAACCUAACUUUGGGGAAUCCUUUCCAAGAUGACUCAUCUGCCAAGCAGCCUCUGAAGUGGCUGCUGUCCCAAACCCCAGCAAUAUUGCAGAAGAUCCUGGGGGGUAUUUUGGACCCAUGGUGGGCUGACUAGAAGUCUUCUGGUGAGUGUUACACUUACAGAGCAAGAAUGAUUGCAUGCUCAAGGCACAAAACUGCUCUGUGUGAAGGCAUCCCGAUAGUUUGUGCUGUUGCUAAAGGACAUCAAGUGCGACUGGCUGGAUCAGUCCAGGCUACAUGUUAGGAGCAUUCCUUGCAAGAAUCCCAGCAGGUACAAGACAAUCCACUGGACACUGACCAAGGGGCCUCCAGUACGAUCUACCUUCGGCCUAGCUCUGUUUUCAGGACACACCCUCUGGUUCAGCAGUGUCCUGGCCAAGCCUGUUGGACCUCACUGGCAUUCUGUGUGAACUGCUAGAUGGACAGGUGCCUUGCAAGACACCCCAGCCCCAACUCUUUCUUGUAACCGUUCACUGCAGAAGAAAACCAGCAACGGUUUUUAGGGAUUUUUUGUUUGCCAUGAAAAUUCUUCUAAUUGAGAAUGAGAAAUGGACCAAAUGAGCUUUGGAGGAGCCACCAGAGUUGCCUAGAAUGCCAUUUGGAUAAACAUGUGUAUUACUGAGAUGCUGUUGCAACCAUCCUUUGAUGUGCGAGCUUUUGUACACCCCAUGCAGCUGGUCCACAGGCAGGAGUCGUGUGUGUGUGUGUUUGCACGCAAAUUGCAUUUUCAGGGUUGGGGAGCUAAGCUGUACAUCCCCACCUCCAAACGUUUCCCUUUCCCCCCUCUCUGGAGUUAAUGACUUUUCUGCAACAAAAAGAGGCACAUAAUGUUCCAUCAAAACAACCCAAAGUCAUAAAAUAUAAUUUAAUUCCUCGAGGAGAGUGAGGUUGUAAGUGGUAAUUAUC